UUCACACCGUGUGAGCCACAGCAGGGGUGGCAAGCACGUCUUGUUUUUGUACUGUGAUACUGCAUGAGUAACUGAGUGCUGCCACCUGAGGACGCGCAUCUUUUGGGGGCUGUUGUCUUUCACUGCCACCCCUCCCUCACAUCAUGCAGCCUAUCAAAGCGUUUCUCCCAACAAACACGCAGCCCUCAUCCUGAGAAUUCUGAGUGCCAUCUCUUAUCUACAUUUAUCACCCAUGAUUGGAUUGAUAUUUGGUUCACUAACGGGAAAUGGGAAGAAAAGUAAAAAGAAAAGUGAGUUUUUCAUAAGUAGCCAGCACAAAAAGUAAGUAUGCAUUUCAGAAAGAAAUUAGUGAAGGAUUAGUGAAACAUGGGAUAUGUAGAGGGGGCUGAAAACCCAGAACCUGAAAAAUCUUACUAGGAGAGGAGGCAGCAUGAAGGGAGCUGUUGAUGUGAAGAUUCCACACUUAUAAUUCGGAAAGUACACAGGAACCAUCUAUAGAACACCCUCUUGAUUAUUCUCAAAGAGAGUAUCUACGGUGUGGUCAACUCCUAACAAACCUUGCUUUUAAAUUGAUUGCCCUUGCCUUCUGUGCCUGGGUGCUUGAUAACAUAUGUCUCUAUUAAUGUUGCAUAGCUGUAUUUUUUCCCUUCAUUCACAUUUCACGACUUUAUGUUUACAUGUUAUGCAGACAAAAUCUUUGAAACUACUUCCCUUUUCAGGAUUCUUUAAAAACUAAAGAUGCUAAACCCUAAUAGCUCUAAGGAAGUUAAUUAUAAGCUUGAGUUAGAUUACCCUGGAAAAAGACAAAAUUAGGAAAUUGAAGAGCUUUUCAACUUCUCUAGUUGACUUUCCCACGGUAAUGUCAACCGAUGCUGGGUGGGGCAUAUCCACAGAGUCAGAGAAAGGAGUCACAUAGUUGACUCAAUGCUCCAAGUAAGAAUAUAUAUUGUCAAGUGGCUGGACCUAGUAGAGAGCACCAAGAGCUGUGAAACAGGAGUGGAAACUAGUUAAUUACUGAGAUUAUGAGUUUGGGAUGGAAAAUUGUCAGGGAUUUCUGGGCCCUGAAGCACAUAGUAGCUGUACAGCAAGGACUUGUUCAGCCAUUUCUGCUAUUCCUUCCAGGAGUAUCCACCACCUUCCUGUUCCUGGUCUUGAUUGGAAUUCUUUCUGUUACAGCUGUCUAGAGAGGCUGGGACGAAUGAGUAUGAAUGGUGGGGUUCCAUUCCAGACUCACAUUUUCCUAUGGAAGGAGCCUUAGAGGAUGAAUGGACAGAAGAGCUUCAACUCCCAGUGUUGUUGGUAUUGCAUGAUUUUGGUGGACAACAGCCACAGACAGUGCCCAGACCA